AUUUUAAGCUCACAUGCCCCAGUGGGUGCCAAAGCCACUUCAGAGAGGCUGAAAGAUGGCUGAGUCGACAGGAUUUGACUUCCAGAGGUAGAAAGAUUUCUACGUUGACUUUAAUUAAGCUAGCCCUGGGCUAGUGGGCAUGGCAGCUGAGCUUUAAUUUCAACAUUCCUGCAGAAUGCUCUGGAAAGUCUGGGCCAGCCACGUGCAAAACUAUGUCCCAGAGUUGAGCAGUGAUGAAACCAGCUUUUCUGCGAUGGGGAAGGAGGGAAACCUCAAAGUACAACCAAAGAGCAGCAGCAGGGUAUGCUAUGUCAUGGGUGAAGCCUCAGAAGGACCCCAGUUUAAGCAUCCCAGUCUCGUUUAAGUGCAGACUUAGUCAUGGUGCCUGAGCGACUCAGAACAGAAGACAGAAUUGCUAAUGGAUUUAAACUGUUCCAGGGUUACUGGAGUUAACACAAGUAUGAGGAAAUAAUAAAGUAAUAACCUGCCCUAUACA
rnacentral:lncRNA from 1 species